AAAGAUUAAGCCAUGCAUGUCUAAGUACAUGUGUAUUUAACACGAAACCGCGUAUGGCUCAUUAUAACAGCUAAAAUUUACUUGAUUUUGACUUUUAUCCUACAUGGAUAACUGUGGUAAUUCUGGAGCUAAUACAUGCAUAAAAGAUAUUUCAUUUAUUGAAAUAUUGCGUAUAUUAGUAUUAAAACCAAGCAUUCUUCGGAAUGUUUUGUGUUGAAACUGAAUAUAUCAUGCUGAUCGUAUGGUCUUGUACCGACGACAUGUCAUUCAAGUGUCUGAUCUAUCAACUUUCUAUAUAAGUAUAUAGUACUUAUAUGGUUUUGACGGAUAACGGGGUAUUAGGGUACGACUCCGGAGAAAAUGCCUGAGAAACGGCGUUUACAUCCAAGGAAGGCAGCAGGCGCGAAAAUUACCCACUCUCAGUACGAGGAGGUAGUGACGAGAAAUGACAAGAUCUAUUCCUUCGGGGAUGGAUCAUUGGAAUGGUUUGAUUUUAAAAUCAUUAAAGAGUAUCAAUGAGAGGGCAAGUCUGGUGCCAGCAGCCGCGGUAAUUCCAGCUCUCAUACUGCAUUGAAUUGUUGUUGCGGUUAAAAAGCUCGUAGUUGGAUCUGUACAUGAUAGGUUAGUUCAUCCUUUGGAUUGUAACUAAUACUAAAUGUUUUUUAUUAGAUUUUUAUAUGUAACUGUAAGGUUAUAUAUAAUGUCUAAUGAGUUUACUUUGAAUAAAUCAGAGUGCUCAAAACAGGCGUAAGCUUGUAUGGUUUUGCAUGGAAUAAUAGAACAUGACUAUGGUUCAUGUUUUAUUGGUUUUACUUACCAUAGUAAUGAUUAAAAGGAACAAACGGGGGCAUCCGUAUCGCAGGGCGAGAGGUGAAAUUCGUGGACCCUUGCGAGACGAACUACAGCGAAAGCAUUUGCCAAGAAUG
rnacentral:rRNA from 1 species